GUGAGGUGAUGACGAAGUUUAUCCAUUCUCUGAGUGCAGUGGUGCUGCCCUCCUGCAGCACCCCGAUUCCUGUUCUAGGGUCUGGGUGCUGUGCAGCCUCCAGAGACCCUCUAGUCUCCCAGUGUCCUGCUGGGGGCUGCUGUGGUGUGUGGCUGGCUGCCUGCAGGAGUGAAGUGCCGGCAGGGUUGGAGCCCCUGUUUGGGGGGUUCUGUCCCCACUGAGAUGAGGGAUGAUGUCUGAUCAC
rfam:Aptenodytes forsteri contig65848, whole genome shotgun sequence.